AACGAACGCUGGCGGCAUGCCUAACACAUGCAAGUCGAACGAGACCUUCGGGUCUAGUGGCGCACGGGUGCGUAACGCGUGGGAAUCUGCCCUCUGGUACGGAAUAACUCAGGGAAACUUGAGCUAAUACCGUAUAAUGACUUCGGUCCAAAGAUUUAUCGCCUGAGGAUGAGCCCGCGUCGGAUUAGCUAGUUGGUGAGGUAAAGGCUCACCAAGGCGACGAUCCGUAGCUGGUCUGGGAGGAUGAUCAGCCACACUGGGACUGAGACACGGCCCAGACUCCUACGGGAGGCAGCAGUGGGGAAUAUUGGACAAUGGGCGAAAGCCUGAUCCAGCAAUGCCGCGUGGGUGAUGAAGGCCUUAGGGUUGUAAAGCUCUUUUACCCGGGAUGAUAAUGACAGUACCGGGAGAAUAAGCCCCGGCUAACUCCGUGCCAGCCGCCGCAGUAA
rnacentral:rRNA from 1 species